CGACAGAGCCUCCCUCAGACUCCUCCGUGGGUCAGGACUGUUCGUUGGUCUAGGCUCAGCCGGGAGGGCAGUUACUGGAAUGUUCGGGGUUGGUGGGGGGCACCCACAGUCAGCAAGGUCAGGCCACGUAGGGACACAGUGUGUAGAGCCGCCCUGGGCCUGGGGAAGCCCUGACACCUGCUGCUUGUGGUGGGCAGAGGAGGAGCCCAAGAGCAGACUGAGGCCACCGGAGAGGCUGAGAGGCUGACAGGCUCCCUGGGCACCAGGACAGGGGACCCACCCCCUCCCCCGACACCCCUGUGCUCUGCAUGGACAAGGACAGACAGACAGCUCCUCGAGGGCCCAUGGCCACAAGAGUCAGCCACACCGGCCCCUGCAGCUGGGGCAGAGAGGCUCAGAGGAGGUGAAGGGACUGAAGGACCCGCUCACCAGGCUCCGCCCACUCCCAGGGCCCCUGGGGUCCCCAGCACCUUCCUCCAGGGCCUCCUGUGCUGCCCGCUCCUCUGAAGGUCUUCAGUGACAGGUGCGGAUCCGGUUUGGAUGCUGAUGGAGAGGAAGGAGGCGGCCCCACGGGUGGCUCCCGCCCCCCACAAGAUGCCCCGCCCCUCUCCUGUGGGCUCAGCUUCAGUUUUCCAGGCUAAGGGAGGCCUCAAGGGCACAGAUGCCUCCUCCCUGUCCCACGGGGACAGGACAGGACUUGACGGCCCCUGGAGAGAUCCUGUGCCUUCUGGCUUCCCCUGGAAACGUGUGCCUGGCAGGCCUCCCUCGUGCUGUGCUCCUGGUCUCAGCCCUCCCUUCUGCCAGGAAAGGGCCUGGGCUGGAGGGAGAAGCCUGGAACCUGCCCGCGGUCCCUGCUGGGCCAGCUGGGGCCACUUCCUAAACUCCCGGGGCCUCGGCCUUCUCCUCCUCCUCCCGCGGGAGACCCUGGGACAGCCUGUGAGCAGGGCGGACAGCUGGGAGGGGGGCGUCCAAGGGACCAGGGCUGAACAGGUGAUGCUCCUCAGAUGCCCGGGUUCAAGGCCUGUGGCGCCACCUGCUGGCCGCGUGCUGUGGGCACCUGUAAGAACCUCUUUGUGCCUUUGCUGUCCUGCCAAGGUGGUGGUAAUGAGAGAACCGCCUUCGCUGGCGUCUGCGCAGAGACCCAGAGCGCAUGUGGGCUUCUGGGCGAGGGUCAGCCCUCAUUCCGGUUCGCUGCGGGGAGAGCCUCAGAGCUGCAUGAGCUUUCCGAGCUCGGCCAUCCUUGUCCACCUCAGGCCUCAGUCCGGAGGCUGGGGGGAGCUAAAGGUUGGAGCGUCCUUCAGCAGCCUCCCGGGGAGCCAGGAGUCCUUCCCUCUGCACUCUCCAAGGCUCUUGUACCCUACUGUUGUCAUUGACAGAAUUGACUCAUCAAGUCUUUCAUUUGAUUGGAACGUUUGCUCACAUUUUUUUUAACGUGCUUUGCGCAUUCACUUUUCUUGUGAGUUUUCUUUCACAUUUAUUUGGUUUUUCUGUUCCUUUAUUUGUAAUGUUGAUUAAAUCUUGAGCUUCUUUUUAAUAACAUGUUUUCCUCCUUUCUUUUUAGGAAUUCGUGUUAGGGAUGGUCCAAGGUUAUGCCCCACUCUCUUAAGACUUUAUCUUAUUUAAGUUUCUGCAUGUAGUUAUUGUUCCCCCGAUUUAAAUAAAAUGAAAGAUUA